rnacentral:lncRNA from 1 species
ACGAGCAAAGAUUCCCAAUGAACAAAGAAAACAAAUAGCCCCUGGGACCACAAGUGUGUUCUGUAA